rnacentral:lncRNA from 1 species
CUCAAUAUUAAACUCUCAAAAAUUAAUAGAAUGGACAGGAAAGUAGGUUAUAGUAGACCUGAAAAAAAUUGUGAACCAAUUCAACAUAAUUAAGACUUAUACAAUUUUCACACAACAGCAGCAUACAAAUUUUAUUCAAGUUCCCAUAGACUAUUAACCAGGAGACACUGGAAUAUGACGUAAAACAAAGUGCAAAAGUUUCAUGGCCUAAAUAAAAAGUAUUGAAAUCAUACAGGGCCUGCUGUCUUAUUACUGUGAAACUGUGUGAGAAAUCAAUACCAUAAGGUAUUUGAAAAUAACCCACAUAAUUUCAAGUACAAUAAAUAAAUAAAUGUUUUUGUCAGCAGGUUCUUGCCUGUCCUGCUCCUGGCAAUUCAGGGAUUGGGAACCUGGGUCUCCAAAGAGUUCCUGAAGGGCCGUAAUUGGAUGCAGAAACUUUCCUCCCAUUAGAAUAAUUUAAGCAUCUUAAGAAAACAAGAGAUUUUUCUGGAUUUCUCUCUGUACUAUAAACUAAAAUAAGAAAUACAAAACUAUCCCUGGGGAAAACGUGCCAUUUUACAGUGACAUCCUGUAUCACAACUUUUCCUCUUUGUUCCUCAUUCAGCUGGAAGGCCAAACUCCACAUGGCUCAGUUCCAGAGACACAAGGUCAAAACCUACAGUCUGAGACUGGAGGACUAAGGACAUUCUGGUGGUCACAGGAAUUCCAGGUUAAGAAUCUGCCUUGCAACAAAGAGAACUCGUGUUCAGUCCUUCAUAAAAGCAGGGCACACCUCUGCUUUUGCUUCUGGAGCCUCAGAAAUAGCAUGAGGACUUAAGAUCCCACAGGAGACGGAGCAACUAAACCCAGGCACUGCAAAGACAGAGGCUGCAUACUCCAGGGCCCCCAUGCCACGAUGAAAUGUCCUGUGUGAUGCAAUGAAGAUCCCAUGAUCCACAACUAAGACCCACUGCAGUCAAAUAAAUAAAUAUUCUUUAAAGUAUACUGAUUCUGCUUCCUUUGGAUACAUAAUCAGAAGUUGUGAGACUGUGAGGUCCUAUGCAUGUUCUAUUUGUAACAUUUGAGGAACCUCCAUACUGCUUCCCAUGUACUAUUGACAUUCCCACCAACCAUUCACAAGAGUCCCU